rnacentral:rRNA from 1 species
AUGAACGCUGGCGGCGUGCCUAAUACAUGCCAGUCGAGCGAACGGACGAGAAGCUUGCUUCUCUGAUGUUAGCGGCGGACGGGUGAGUAACACGUGGAUAACCUACCUAUAAGACUGGGAUAACUUCGGGAAACCGGAGCUAAUACCGGAUAAUAUUUUGAACCGCUUGGUUCAAAAGUGAAAGACGGUCUUGCUGUCACUUAUAGAUGGAUCCGCGCUGCAUUAGCUAGUUGGUAAGGUAACGGCUUACCAAGGCAACGAUGCAUAGCCGACCUGAGAGGGUGAGCGGCCACACUGGAACUGAGACACGGUCCAGACUCCUACGGGAGGCAGCAGUAGGGAAUCGUCCGCAAUGGGCGAAAGCCUGACGGAGCAACGCCGCGUGAGUGAUGAAGGUCUUCGGAUCGUAAAACUCUGUUAUUAGGGAAGAACAUAUGUGUAAGUAACUGUGCACAUCUUGACGGUACCUAAUCAGAAAGCCACGGCUAACUACGUG